AUGAAAUCUUUCAAUAACCUAAAACACAAUCUCAAGGGGCUUGAGCCUUACAUGCACAAGAUUGGGUUGCCUGAAUCACGAGCCUUAUACAUUGUGUUACGAUCACCUCAUAUUAAUAAGAAAUUCAGGGAGCAAUUCCCAACGCACGUGAAGAAAGUAUUUGUGGUUAAAAAGUCAGAGACACAUGAGCUGGCCAAGAAGUUCUUUUGGUUAAAACGGCUUCGUGUAUUGGGGGCUCAGUAUGAAGUUAAUAUUAGUUUCAAGACCCACUUGGAUAAAAUGAUUGACAGCAGCAAAGGUGGCAUUCUUAGGCAGUAG
rnacentral:rRNA from 1 species